GACGAACGCUGGCGGCGUGCUUAACACAUGCAAGUCGAGCGAUGAAGUUUCCUUCGGGAAACGGAUUAGCGGCGGACGGGUGAGUAACGCGUGAGGAACCUGCCUCAAAGAGGGGGACAACAGUUGGAAACGACUGCUAAUACCGCAUAAGCCCACGGGUCGGCAUCGACCAGAGGGAAAAGGAGUGAUCCGCUUUGAGAUGGCCUCGCGUCCGAUUAGCUAGUUGGUGAGGUAACGGCCCACCAAGGCGACGAUCGGUAGCCGGACUGAGAGGUUGAACGGCCACAUUGGGACUGAGACACGGCCCAGACUCCUACGGGAGGCAGCAGUGGGGGAUAUUGCGCAAUGGGGGGCAACCCUGACGCAGCAACGCCGCGUGAAGGAUGAAGGUUUUCGGGUUGUAAACUUCUUUUGUCAGGGAACAGUAGAAGAGGGUACCUGACGAAUAAGCCACGGCUAACUACGUG
rnacentral:rRNA from 1 species